GACGAACGCUGGCGGCGUGCUUAACACAUGCAAGUCGAACGAUGAAGCCGGAGCUUGCUCCGGUGGAUUAGUGGCGAACGGGUGGGUAACACGUGAGCAAUCUGCCCUUGACUCUGGGAUAACUGCGGGAAACUGUAGCUAAUACCGGAUACGAGGCUCGAAGGCAUCUUCGGGUCUGGAAAGAAUUUCGGUCAAGGAUGAGCUCGCGGCCUAUCAGCUUGUUGGUGAGGUAAUGGCUCACCAAGGCGACGACGGGUAGCCGGCCUGAGAGGGUGACCGGCCACACUGGGACUGGGACACGGCCCAGACUCCUACGGGAGGCAGCAGUGGGGAAUAUUGCACAAUGGGCGAAAGCCUGAUGCAGCAACGCCGCGUGAGGGAUGAAGGCCUUCGGGUUGUAAACCUCUUUUAGCAGGGAAGAAGCGAAAGUGACGGUACCUGCAGAAAAAGCACCGGCUAACUACGUGCCAGCCGCCGCCGUAA
rnacentral:rRNA from 1 species